AAGGAUCUCUUCUGGAGAUCUGCUCUGUUGGAGUUUCAUAAGCCAGCUCAGAAUACAGGUAUAAAGCACGGACAGUGAUCUUGGUCAUGGAAUGAUAGCCAGCAAUUUAAAGAAGAUUGCAAGUUAUUUUCCUCUUCCCAGCAAUUCGGAACAUUCUUUUGUCUAAACAGGUCUAUUUUUUUGGUGUAGAAAGCAGGUGCACAUUUCUGUGCAGAAAGUCCAAGAACCACUAGACAGGAAUUCCAGCAUUUAGAACUGAAGCUUUAAAGUGCAUGUAAAGUUAUGCUGUUUUAAUGUCAUGAUUAUCAUGAGUCCCUCUCACUGACAGCAUUCCUGUGGUACCAGAUCCUGCACAAUGUUCAGACAUAAGCUCCAAAGGAGACAGGAGUUGGAAAGGCAGUGUGGCCAGUGAGCAGAGGCUGAGAGACAGAGCUACCAGAAAACAGGAAGACAAUGGCACUCACCAUGAUAAGCAAGUCUCAGCAUGUGAUGUGAAAUUAUUAGGUUUUUUAAACCAAUUUACCUAGUGAAUUAAACAGGUUAAAGUCGGCAUGUAUAUUGAUUUUGCUCAUUCUUACAAGAGAUCAAUUUAACCUAGGUUGAUGUUUCAGUUUUAAAACAAGUUAAGUGCGUCCACUCAGGAGUUUUGAACCACUUUAACUGAAUUUACCUUAAACUAAUUUGUUUUGAACUGAUAUAAUAUUUUGGACAGGAAACUCUGUAAAAGAUAUUAUAAA